UGGAAAAUAUUUGUGGAUAUA
rnacentral:piRNA from 1 species